rnacentral:lncRNA from 1 species
CAGACCUGUAUAUUCUGGGCUCUUUCUGCCCCAUUUCACCCAGGCUUUAAAUUACCCAGACUUGGGUCUGGGUUAUUCUAUCCAAAACUUUCCUCUGAAAUCUAGAUUGUGAUGCAAUGUAUACGUUCUCUAAAUCAGAUUUCUGAGGACUAAAUGCCAGACCGCGUGGCGUAGCAGUCUGGCUGCAAACCAUUUCCGUCAGCCCAGCGGAGGAACGCACAACAAGGUGCUCAUCCCCGCAGCCGUGCACAGGAGACAGCAACGGUCCAGAGGAGUGUGUCCUCUUGGGGAAAGAGGGAAAGAAGGCAGUAAAAAUAGCAUCGUGUCGCUGCUGACUGUGCAUUGGCCACACAGCUAAGCACAGAGUGCCUAGAGAGCUUUGGCAGGAUCAUCACAUGUUGUCCUCACAACAGACCCAUGAGGGAGGUAUCUCAUCCCAAUUUACAGAUGAAGAAACUGAGGCUCAGGAAGAUCAAGUGACGUCUUCAUUAUCACACAGCCAUUAAGAGCUGAGCUUGGUGGGAACUCAGGCUUCCGCGACUCUAAAGACUAGAACUACAGACAAGCUGCAAAGCAAGAUCAGGUCAAGAUAUUCUCCAAAGUUAUAUCCCGUGGCUCCUCAGUUACAGAUGUGAUUGCAGAAUCCUGCCACUUCUUUUCUUUUUGGUCUCCUUGUUUUCUCAAUCCAGUCAGAAUGAAUUUUAGAUGUGUCCCAAGUGCAGUCUGCCUUCAGCCGCCGAGCCACUCAGACACUUGGAGCUAGCCCAAGUAGCCCAAGUAGUAGGUCUGUGAAUAAACGUCACUUCUGGAAUCAUUCUUCAACAAGUACAACUUGACUAGAGAGACUCAAAUACCUGCACUGGUCCCAAAGAGCCAUCACCCAGUGCUGCCAAGUCUGACCAAGAUGCAUCCUAGCUAAGGAACCAGUCACACCACUGGCUCUCACGCCAUGCCUGAGAGGAGCACAACAGGAGUUUCUCCAGGAAGCUUCCCAACGUUCAGAUGAGUUGCUCUCCAUGUGGAUUCAGCAUCCUGACGAGCUGACACCAAUUCCAGGCCUGGCAUGUCUAACAAAUGCAGCAUUCAAGCCCAAGACACUGAAAUUGUUACCUCAUGUUAUAAAGGACCUGAAGCUGCAUGCAAUUAGCACUGCAUCUGUGAGACUUGGGAAAGACAACUGAGAGAACAGGGUCUUAAAAAGACUAUUUUGGUCCAUAUGGAAAAUUGGUGUGUUGCAUGCAUGGUAAAAUCCUUUCAGAUAUAUUUUUAAACCUUAUGUUUUUAAAACUGGGGACUUAAAUAUUAUUAUAGGAAAAGCAGCAUGAUUCCUUUAACAUCAGAAGGAGAUCUGUAAGUUAAAAAACUGUUGGAACCUUGUAAAGAAAUUAACAUUGUGAAUGAACUCAGGCAUUAGUGCAAAUUAAUCAAACUGCAUACAUUAUAAUUUUUAAUCAGUCAUGGAAUUUCAAUACUUGAAGGGACCUUGGAAAUCAUCUGUCCCAAGAGCAAGAAUUAUGGAAGAUAAAUGGGCAGGUGGAGAAAAACCUCCUGGCUAGAGAAAGGCACAGAAAAAACAAAGAGUUGGGAGACAGCAUGCACAGUGGUUUGAAAGCUCAGGGAUUUGCACACACAGCCUGGGUUCGAAGCUCAGCUUUGCUUUUUGAUGGCAGUAUGAACCAGGCUGAGUUGUUUGACCCUCCUAUGUGACAGUUUAUAAACAAAAGGUUAUUCUGAGUCUUAAGAGAGACCAUCCAUAGAAAGGGCUUAGUAUGGUCCCUGGGAUACCAUAUGGUGCCUGGGACAUCAGUGCUGAGUAAAUAUUAGCUCUAUAGAAAAAGGAAUUUUACAAACAUAAUCUGAGUGAGCCAGACUGACACACUAUGUAUAACUGUGGUCUUUCUCUUUUAUUUGGCUAUGAAAGAAAAGCAAAAUGCAGUAUAUUGAAG